AUGCACGCUGGCGGCGUGCCUAAUCCAUGCAAGUCGAGCGAACGGACGAGAAGCUUGCUUUUCUGAUGUUAGCGGCGGACGGGUGAGUAACACGUGGAUAACCUACCUAUAAGACUGGGAUAACUUCGGGAAACCGGAGCUAAUACCGGAUAAUAUUUUGAACCGCAUGGUUCAAAAGUGAAAGACGGUCUUGCUGUCACUUAUAGAUGGAUCCGCUCUGCAUUAGCUAGUUGGUAAGGUAACGGCUUACCAAGGCAACGAUGCAUAGCCGACCUGAGAGGGUGAUCGGCCACACUGGAACUGAGACACGGUCCAGACUCCUACGGGAGGCAGCAGUAGGGAAUCUUCCGCAAUGGGCGAAAGCCUGACGGAGCAACGCCGCGUGAGUGAUGAAGGUCUUCGGAUCGUAAAACUCUGUUAUUAGGGAAGAACAUAUGUGUAAGUAACUGUGCACAUCUUGACGGUACCUAAUCAGAAAGCCACGGCUAACUACGUG
rnacentral:rRNA from 1 species